CCUGCUGAUGUGACGUAGAGGCAGAGAGAGAGAGAGAGAGAUUUCGGUAGAUUCAUUCUCCGAAGAUCCGCCGCCUCUUCUCCUCCCUCCUCUCCGAGGAGCAACUUUCCGCGUGGUUUCUGUGGAGAUGGGAGAAAGGAUCUCUCCGGGGAGUUACUUCCAGUAUUCUCCCUCCGGAUUUCGAGCUUCUCCCAAUCGGUCUCCGUGUCUUCCCACUGAUCGUGAGAGGUACUUGGCUGAAUUAUUGCAAGAGAGACAAAAGCUGGUGCCCUUUUUGCAAGUUCUGCCAAAUUGCUGCCGACUUUUAAAUCAAGAAAUCAGGAGGGUCUCAAGUUUUGCUGAUUUCGAGAGACAUGACCAUGACAGUCCAUAUAGGUCACUGGGUCAACCAAUGAGUGGAAAACUUGAUAUGGAGGGAUGGCCAAUGAUCCAAGCAGAGGAAAAUGGUCAUCUCCAAAGAGGUUCUCCAUAUCACGCUCCCUCAAUGGGCUGGCCUGGGAUGCCUGGCCUCCCAGCUCCGCUCUCGACCCCACCUAUUGUAAAGAAAGUUGUUAGGCUUGAUGUGCCUGUGGAUAAAUAUCCGAAUUAUAAUUUUGUCGGCCGGAUUCUGGGACCGCGUGGAAACUCCCUGAAAAGAGUUGAGCUUGUAACACAGUGUAGGGUUUAUAUCAGAGGACGUGGUUCUGUGAAGGAUUCUGUUAAGGAAGAAAAGCUAAAAGAUAAAGCAGGGUACGAGCAUCUGAGCGAGCCAUUGCACGUAUUGAUCGAGGGUGAGCUUCCUGAAGAUAUAAUAAACUCUCGAUUGGAAAGCGCCGUGAAUUUCCUAGAAACUCUUCUGAAGCCCGUGGAUGAAUCGAUGGAUCACUACAAGAGGGAACAGCUGAGGGAGUUAGCGGCGAUAAAUGGAACACUGAGGGAAGAGAGGCAGAGUAUGAGCCCUAGUCUCAGCCCAAGCAUGUCUCCUUUCAACAGCAAGCGCGCCAAGACUGGACGAUAGAAAAAAAAAGGAGAUUUUAUUUAUCAAACUUCUCAUGGUUUUGACUGUGAUGAUAACCGUAAGAGAUUUUUUUGUUUGGGUGGUUUUUUGUUUUGAGAAUUUCAUGAGGUGUUUGGUCGAGACUCGAGCUGGACGCGGAUCGAAAUCGGAGUACCCGACUCAACCUGAGCCUCUGGGAUUUCGGAAUUCAGACUUCAGAGUACGUCACCGUUACAAACUCCGAUUUUAAUAUACAUAUUUGUAUAUGUUAUGUAUUCAGGUUCAUACCAAUCUCUACAUUAUAAAUAAUAUUAUUCGUUGUAUCA